AAUUUUGACCAUAUUAUUUGUAACUGACCUUGAAAGGCCAGCUGCUAAAACAAUAAAAUAAAGUAUAAUUGUGACCCACUGGCAUAACCCAUCUUAACCCUUCUUUCUCAUCAUAACCCUUUCUCUCUCUUCUCUCACAUCUAAAAAUCAAAAACCCCACUGAACUCCACUCAGCCGUCCUCCAUGGUCAAUGAACUUCAAUUCACUCAGCCGUCCUCCAUGGUUGCUGAACUUCAGUUAGCCCUCACCUCCAUUGUCGCUGAACUUAUUCAGCCCACUCUUUCCAUUUUGCUCAAGAAUAAAGAAGAACGAAACCCUAAUUUGUUUUGCACUUCAUUGAAGUAGGACGAAACCCUAAUUUCAUGCUACACUCGAUCGAAAUCGUCCUCUGAAUCCUCUCCUCUCCGUUGAAGCCGACCAAGUCAUACUCUGAAUUCUCCAUUGAAGCGGCUUAUGAGCUUUUUGUUCUUCACUGAAUCAGUUUCUUAGGUCAAUUGUUGAAUACAUAGUGUGAGUACAUAGAUGGUGGUGGUAGGCGGAAUUUGGUUGUUUAGAGUUCCUUCAAUUCGACAGAUUAAAUGAUCUUAGACUUUGAUUUGUGCUCUUAAACUUCUCUCUCGUGAUCCUGAAGUUUUCGCCUCGGUUUCUUCUAUCUAUCGCGACAACAAUGGUGAUGUUGAUGAGGCCGUUUCGCCUUCUGGUGAUGCUUAAUUGGGUGGUUUUUCCCCUAAAUCGUAUAAAGACAUUAUUCUCAAUAAUUUAUCUAAGCCAAUGGUUCAAGAAUUGGGUGAUGGUGAAUUUUUUAAUUUGAAGUGAGGAAUUUGAAUGCAAGUCUGAGAGGCUCGGGGAUCUACAUGAGAGCGCGAAAAAUCAGGAAAAUGGGUUCUCAAGAAGAGGAACCUCAACCUUUUCACCCUAGUCUCUCUCCUCUUGAGACGUGUAUGCACAAGUUCAGGCUCUAUGAGACUCGAUCGGUAUCGCUCGCUCUUGAUUGUUCUUAUUGUGAUUGUUGUUUGUUGUUUUGAAUUUUGUAUUGUUUGUUUGUUUGUUUGCUUGCUUGCUUGCUUCUUGUUGUUGUUGUAUGAAGAGUCGAGAAGGGCAGAGAUGUAGACGGGAUUUGAUUUUAGGUCUUGGGUAUUACUCGCGGGAAUUUACUAACUAAGCUAGCUUGACUUUCAUAUUUGGAUUUCUAUUAUGGAUGAUGGUUAACUGGUUUACAUUAUUUGGUUUUGAGAUCUCAAUGAAAUGUUUUAUAGUUUUUAUGUUAGUUAUAGGUUUAAGUGUGGUAAGUUUACUAGGAUUCUUGAAAUUUGUGAUUUUUUUCUUUUUAAGCUGAGUUUUAAGUUUGAUUUAUGUCAAUGUUUUGCUAUGCUUUAUUUGGGCUGCCUUUUGAUUUCCAAAAGCAAAUUUUCGCACCCGAAAAAAGAGAAUUAAUAACACUUUGAAAUGUGGUUGUAGUAGAGGAUGACUCAGUGUGUAAACUAUACAAAGGACUAUGUAGCUUGUGCACCUUAUAGGAAUGUGAUUAGGUAUAUUUGUAGUCUGUACACCUUGUAGGAAAUGUGAUAUGGUAUAGUUAAAUAGUUAUCACUUAUUGCUGAUGUAUUCCAGUUAUGAUUAUGUGUAGACUAGACAAAGGAAUAUGUAGUCUGUACAUCCUUUUAGAAAUGUGUUUACGUAUAGUUUAAUGUUUACCACUUAAUGCUUAUGUGUUCCCACGAUGAUUAACUUUAUUCAUGAUGACAGACUCUUAUGUUUUACCCAAAUUGAUGUUCAAUGGCACUGUACAUUGCUCAUUGUAGAGAAAUUUGUUAUGCUUCAAAGAAAAUUACAAAUAUGACCUUCGGUAUGUUCUGCCUUAGGAUAUGGCGAUCUGAUCAGUUUAUAUAACUAUGGAGAGCAUUUAAGUAAUUCUUAGAUACAAUUUUUUUAAAGGUAUAUAGAAUCAUCAAAAUUUAGCAAUUGAUCUAGAGCACAAUUUCUCAAACUUCUCUGUUGUUUGUUGAUGCGGGAAAAAUGCUGUUUUUAUUUUCCUGCAUGUGAUGUUAAAUAUCUCGCAUGAUGAUGUCUAGACGUCAAGGAGAUUAAAAAGGGCUUGAGAAUGUUAGUAACAACAAAAUUAGAGUAUCCAAUCAGGAGAUGCUGCAUCCCCAUCUGAAGUACUUUGCAGCUAUAAACUACCAGAGCAGCACCUUCUGCAAUAUAAAUAGUUCCUCUCUAAAGUUGUAGGAAACUGAUUUUAAAAGACAGUCUCCAGUAUCAGAGAUGGUAAAAACAGUUGUUGCUUGAGUUGAAUUGGAAAAAAAUUGUACUGAAGAGAGGAUUAAAAAGGUGAAAAUUUGGCUGGUGUACUGUGGAAGACGGUCUCAUCUUUUGAUUGGUGAAAAAAGGGGGAGGAGGGAGUAUCCAGAAUCCUUAGAUUAAUUUAUUAGAAUAGACAUUGCAUUCAAUCUUUUUAAGAAUAUCAUUACAGAAGAAAAUAACCAUUUGAUUAUCCAUAUGCUCCAUAAGAUGGCUGUAGUUAUAUUGAAGGUUUGAUUUUAAUCGUGAUUAUUGGACUGAAGAUGAACUAGAGAAAAUAUAUAUUUUACAUGUAAAUGUAUUGAUGAAUUAUGAUAAGGAUGUAUCUAAGUGAAUAAAUAAGAUAUUAUUGGUAAAUUUUGCCGUAAAGUUUUGGUCUCGAUGAUUAGUGGUUAAUAGGUAUAGCCGUAUAGGAUUUUGUGUUCUUGAUGUUGUAUUUGAUUUGAUUGUUAAAAUAGGGUUGCAGGACGCAACUUGUAUCUCUAGUUAUGUGGAUUUAAUUAUGGAAUUUGAGGAUGCUGUGGUUAAGCUACAGCCGAAAUGCAUGUCUAGUAGCGCUCUAACAUAAUUGAAUAAGAGCCAUUUCCAGAGCCGGGUUGAGCAUCGUUUGACUGAACUUGAAGGUUGGUAUAUUUUAUCAUACUUUGUAUCAGUGUUAGGUUAUGACUUGUUAUUGGUAAUUGCGAUUUGUGUUUAAUGUUUCACAUUUUUUAAACAGAUCAUUUAGUAUAGUAUACCAGUGCAGUUGAUCUGUAUGAAAUUUGGUUGGGUAGAGAACCUAGUGGAAGAGUUGUUAUGGAGUGUAAAUCAAUCAAUUUGGCUAGCUAUAGAGUUUGCUAAGCAUUUUCUAGUGAGACCUCUGUAUGACUAGUAUAUGUCACGCAUCAUUAAUUGAAUGCACUUUCAAGGACUUAAUUCUGUACCGCAUAUUAUAUGCUAGCUUAGGCUUUCAGUAGCAGUGCUGGAUACUGAUCAUUGAGUAGUCUUGGACAGUUGUCUUUUAAACUAAUGUUUAUUAGGCCAAUGCUGCAUGCCACUCACACCCUUAAUCCCUUUCCCUUCCUAAAAUUAUUAUUGACUUCUCUAACAUGUAUCGAUUUGUUUUCACAUAUGGCUCUGUUUUAGAACUUUAUGUAUUGGUCUGUAUGAAAAGGCUAGAAGUUAAAGAGAAGAACUCAUAUAAAUUCAACUCUGUCAUGAAAGAAUACAAAGCUACACAUGAUUAAUUCCAGACUCCUGAAUAUUAUGCACGGAAUGUCUGCUUAUGGUUGGACAAGUUCAUUCCCAACAGAACAGCUAUGGAUUUCAAUUACGCCCACUACACGCUGCAUUUCUCUUCUUCGUGCUGCUGUUGUUCUGCUUUUGUGCUGUUGUUCUGCUACUUCAUUAUUUUCUGCUUAACUCUUGCCAUAAGUGUAUGGGCUUUGGAGAGCAGUGAAGCACCCUUGGCUCUAGCUGUUGAGAGUAGUGAGACUCUAGAGCAAGAAGAAGCCAGUGACGGUCAUUUUACUAAAAAAUGUUAAAUAAGAUACAUUGGCUUUAUGUGUUAGCUUUCUAUAUUCAUCUUUAAUAUAACCUUCUAAUUUUUCAAACAAUUUGUUAUUAAUGUAUACAAUAAAAUUAACAUAAUUUUCUGUUAUGCUAUUAACAUCUGAUAUAUUUU